UCCCUUGUGGCUCAGCUGGUAAAGAAUCCACCUUCAGUGUGGGAGACCUGGGUUUGAUUCCUGGCUUGGGAA
rnacentral:tRNA from 1 species